GCCUAACACAUGCAAGUCGAACGAAGUAGCAAUACUUAGUGGCAGACGGGUGAGUAACAUGUGGGAAUCUGCCUUUUGGUUCGGAAUAACAAGAGGAAACUUUUGCUAAUACCGGAUAAGCCUUUACAGGGAAAGUUUUAAUGCCAAAAGAUGAGCCCGCACUUGAUUAGUUUGUUGGUGAGGUAAUGGCUCACCAAGACUACAAUCAAUAGCUGAUUUGAGAGGAUGAUCAGCCACACUGGGACUGAGAUACGGCCCAGACUCC
rnacentral:rRNA from 1 species